CAUCAAGUUCAAUUUUAGAGGCACUUAUUCCUUCACUAAGAAAUUCUUUUUUCAAAAAAUAUGCCUUACUACUGACAAACACCUUUUGUUCAACAGGCAGGUAAAAGUAAUAUUUUUUUAUUUUUUUGGGAUACCCUAAAAAAUUAUAUUUAUCAGACCUAGGACUGAGCUUGUCAAUAUGCAAUCGUUUAAUAUAAGUUGGACAUCCCCAGACC
rnacentral:lncRNA from 1 species